rnacentral:rRNA from 1 species
CAGCAGCCGCGGGAAUACGAGGGGGGCAAGCGUUGUUCGGAAUUAUUGGGCGUAAAGGGUGCGUAGGCGGCCCCGCAAGUCUCAUGUGAAAUCUUCAGGCUCAACUUGAAGUCUGCAUGGGAAACGGCGGGGCUGGAGUAUGGGAGAGGUGAGUGGAAUUCCUAGUGUAGAGGUGAAAUUCGUAGAUAUUGGGAAGAACACCAGUGGCGAAGGCGGCUCACUGGUCCUUUACUGACGCUGAGGCGCGAAAGCGUGGGGAGCGAACAGGAUUAGAUACCCCCGUAGUCCCUGUCUCUUAUAA